UAUAGAGAUUGAUGAGGUAGGGACGACAUGAGUAUAAAUUGAGUCCAGCAGGGCUUCUUGAAGGACACACUUAUAUGUGAGAUGCGUUAUAUGCCGCAAUGUUCAGGAAGGAGAGAUUCGCGAGAAUGGACACAUUCCCGCUGUGUUCAUUGUGUCAGAUGCAGUUUACCCUGAAAGGCCCCGCCCCUUACCUACUGCCCUGUCUACACGCUGUGUGCGAGACGUGUGUCACAUCUGCAGCUGGUGGUGUGAUAUCGUGCACAUGUCAGAGAAAGGUCAACCUAACAGACACAACCCUCCAGAAGGAUGCAAUCAGAGAGAAGGAAGUGUUCUACCUGACAGUCAAACAUCGCCCGACGGUGCUUCUCUGUACCCAUGAAGAUGACGGCAACCAGGCUAUGUGUUGGUGUCAGGAUUGUGCGGAGUUCCUCUGUGAAUACUGUCAGAACACGCACAGCAGCUUUAAAGCCACCAAGAUGCAUUCUGUCCACACCCUCCUAGAGAUGGAGCCUUCUCAGAUUGACGGCCACCCCUUCUGCAGUAUUCACAAAUUUUAUCCUCUUGACAGGUUUGACAAGGACUGUAAGACUUUGCUCUGUGAUCGAUGUAUGCGAGAGGAUCAUGCUUCUCACGACGUGGAAGACUUGACUGUCAUCGCCAGUGCUUCCAAACAACAGAUAGAACACCACUCACAAGCCAUGUCCUUGCUGCAGACCCGGCAACAGUCUCAAAUUGAAAGAAUCGGAAAAGAUAUUGAAGUCACCGAGACCACAUGCAACACCCUUAAGAAGACCAUCAGACAGACAUUUGACUCUCUGAGGGACCAACUUGAUCAAAAGGAGAAAGAGUGCAUCAGUGAUAUUGCAGGUCGGUCAAAGCAAAUAAAGUCCAACCUCCAGGAUCUGCAAGGUAGAUUUAAUGACAAUCAAAUGAGAGGCAGUGGGGCCUCAGACUACAUUAGGAAGACACUGAUGUAUGCUUCCAAAUCAGACAUGGUGGCCCUUGACAAGGUAUUGAGGGAUGAAACCAAGAGCUGCAUCGACUCAGUUCCCCCUAACUACGAAACGCCUAUCCUUGCUCUGAACAUGAACAAACUCGAUGAUUUGAAGGACAAAAUAUCCACCAUUGACAACAUCAGCAAAUUGGGAUCUGCAAGUGAAGAUGGGGCGUGUAGAGGUCACGGGGCUGUACAUGCUGGUGAUACAAACAGAAACCAAGACAGACGAGAAGUUGCUUGUCUGCAGAAAGAUGUUCAGCAGGUCACAAAGAAUGCCAACAGUGGGGACACCGUCAAAUCAGAUGGUGCUCCAGUCACCUACCACCUUCUGGAGACAACCGCCAUGGACCAAGCUCCUGUCAUCCUACAGUGCAUACACGUGCAGUACGACUACAGCGCAUUCAAUCUCGACUAUGUCAACGUCACUAAGGAGGAAGACCUGGUCAACAGGAGACCGGACACCAGGCUUCCACGGCAGGGGAGACUGAAGACGUACCGGGGUACCUGCAGCACCAACCCCCUCCCCAGGACCGGCUACCCCCAAUACUGGGAGAUGAUCGCUCGGCUAAGCUUGAAAAGGACACUUCGAGGCACUCGGUCUGUUUUGGAAACAGGCAUCUGCAGAAGGGAUGUGUUGGAUAAAAUAGAAUUAGUAGGGGGUCAGAAUCACUCCUACAGUCUCACCAUUUCCCAGUGCCCUACGCAUGGCGGCAUAUGUAGGAACAUAUGGAAGAAGCGGAAGCAUGUGCUGCAUCUUCCCGUAGCUCUCGGUGACAUACAGGGCUCAACCACACUUCAUUACGGCGUGGUGUAUGAUGACAGCAGGAAGAAGAUUGCCUUCGUUGACGUUAAUGAGAACAAAGUAAUGGUGACCUUAGACAAUGUAGACUCUAGUCAGCCCCUGUGGCCGAUGUUCGGGGUAUAUAACCCUGAUGACGUCAACGUCAAGAUGACGCUUGUAGUCGGCCAUGGCAUCUACAUGACACAGGAGAAGAAACUGAUGAUCACCCAUGCGCUGCAGGCGGAGCAGCCACACUCUCCCUAGUCAAAACGGCCACACACUUCCCUGUGAAAAAAACGGCCACACACUUAAAUCAAAACGGCCACGCACGCCCUAGUCAAAACGUCCACACACUCCCUAGUCAAAACGUCCACACCCUCCCUAGUCAAAACGUUCACGCUCUCCCUAGUCAAAACGUCCACACACUCCCUAGUCAAAACGUCCACACACUCCCUAGUCAAAACGUCACAAGUCAAAACGUCCACACACUCCCUAGUCAAAACGUC